rnacentral:rRNA from 1 species
UACGGAGGAUGCAAGCGUUAUCCGGAUUCAUUGGGUUUAAAGGGUGCGCAGGCGGGCAUUUAAGUCAGUGGUGAAAAGCUGCCGCUUAACGGUAGUCUUGCCAUUGAUACGUUUUGUCUUGAGUUUGUUUGAGGUAGGCGGAAUGUGCAGUGUAGCGGUGAAAUGCAUAGAUAUUGCACGGAACUCCGAUUGCGUAGGCAGCUUACUAGACCAAUACUGACGCUCAUGCACGAAAGCGUGGGGAUCAAACAGGAUUA